rnacentral:rRNA from 1 species
UGCAAGUCGAGCGCGGGAAGCGAACGGAACUCUUCGGAGGGAAGUUCGUGGAACGAGCGGCGGACGGGUGAGUAACACGUAGGCAACCUGCCUGUAAGACUGGGAUAACUCGCGGAAACGCGAGCUAAUACCGGAUAACACUUUCUAUCACCUGAUGGAAAGUUGAAAGGCGGCUUUUGCUGUCACUUACAGAUGGGCCUGCGGCGCAUUAGCUAGUUGGUGAGGUAACGGCUCACCAAGGCGACGAUGCGUAGCCGACCUGAGAGGGUGAUCGGCCACACUGGGACUGAGACACGGCCCAGACUCCUACGGGAGGCAGCAGUAGGGAAUCUUCCGCAAUGGACGAAAGUCUGACGGAGCAACGCCGCGUGAGUGAUGAAGGUUUUCGGAUCGUAAAACUCUGUUGUCAGGGAAGAACAAGUACGAUAGUAACUGAUCGUACCUUGACGGUACCUGACCAGAAAGCCACGGCUAACUACGUGCCAGCAGCCGCGGUAAUACGUAGGUGGCAAGCGUUGUCCGGAAUUAUUGGGCGUAAAGCGCUCGCAGGCGGUUCUUUAAGUCUGAUGUGAAAUCUUGCGGCUCAACCGCAAACGUGCAUUGGAAACUGGAGGACUUGAGUGCAGAAGAGGAGAGUGGAAUUCCACGUGUAGCGGUGAAAUGCGUAGAGAUGUGGAGGAACACCAGUGGCGAAGGCGACUCUCUGGUCUGUAACUGACGCUGAGGAGCGAAAGCGUGGGGAGCGAACAGGAUUAGAUACCCUGGUAGUCCACGCCGUAAACGAUGAGUGCUAGGUGUUAAGGGGGGUUUCCGCCCCUUAGGUGCUGAAGUUAACGCAUUAAGCACUCCGCCUGGGGGAGUACGGCCGCAAGGCUGAAACUCAAAAGAAUUGACGGGGACCCGCACAAGCGGUGGAACCAGGUGGUUUAAUUCGAAGCAACGCGAAGAACCUUACCAGGUCUUGACAUCCUUUGACCCUCU